AUUGAACGCUGGCGGCAUGCUUUACACAUGCGAGUCGAGCGGCAGCGCGGGCUUCGGCCUGGCGGCGAGUGGCGAACGGGUGAGUAAUGCAUCGGAACGUGCCCAGUAGUGGGGGAUAGCCCGGCGAAAGCCGGAUUAAUACCGCAUACGACCUGAGGGUGAAAGCGGGGGACCGAAAGGCCUCGCGCUAUUGGAGCGGCCGAUGUCGGAUUAGCUAGUUGGUGGGGUAAAGGCUUACCAAGGCGACGAUCCGUAGCUGGUCUGAGAGGACGACCAGCCACACUGGGACUGAGACACGGCCCAGACUCCUACGGGAGGCAGCAGUGGGGAAUUUUGGACAAUGGGGGCAACCCUGAUCCAGCCAUGCCGCGUGCGGGAAGAAGGCCUUCGGGUUGUAAACCGCUUUUGUUCGGGAAGAAAUCCUCUGGGCUAAUACCCCGGGGGGAUGACGGUACCGGAAGAAUAAGCACCGGCUAACUACGUG
rnacentral:rRNA from 1 species